GGGUGGGCCAGUACUGCCCCGCAGAAUUCUGGGACCCUCACAAGAGGAGUCCCAGGUCCCUGCUCAGAUGGUCACUCCCUUCUCAAGUGCCUAGAGAGGAAGGCGUGUCUUCAGGAGGCCAAGUUGGUUCCCAGGACAGCCAGCGGUUUCACAAGACAGGAAGUGCACAGAGCCCUGAACCUGGUCACCCGCACAUUCUUCUGCUCGCGGACUUACGAAGGCUUUGUAAAAAAUCGGGAGAGGGAUGGAGAGCUAGACGAAAUGCUCUACGUGAAAAGGGCCUGCAGAAGGUGGGUGGCAUUCAGAGGAAGAGCAGCUUCCGGCAUCAUUCAGUCCCUUUGCGUCAGUACCUCCAUCAAUCCCCACGGUCCAGGGGCCAGGUGUAAGUCCUUGGAGCCCAGGACCCGGCUUCCCAUGAGAUGCCUGGGUUAGGGUGUCGCACUCUGCCUCCCGACCUCCUUGAGAGAACAGGACGUGGAAAACAUGGGCCAAGGUUGCUCUUCUGAUUCUGGAGAUGCAUUUGAGUUUCUAUCAGAUGCAACAGAAGAGGCCACAGGUGAGGAGCUAGAGAGGCCAUCUGUGCUGGGGUGGCCCAGGAGUGGGCUCAGGGCUGCAGGAGGUUACUUUAACCAAGCGUGGGUUAAAGUAACUUUAACCCAAACAUAAACUUACCCCAGUUCAGUUCCUGCUCUGAACUGGGGUAAGUUUAUGUUUUGGGGAACAUAAACCCAAUAACAGGCCCCAGGGACCUUAAUCAGCACUGCCAGGAAGAUGCCCGAGGCCAGGCUGGGUUUUUUGGGGGGGAUGGCGGUGAGAACGGGACCAGAGGCCUAAGAGGAGAGUCAGUCAUGGGCUCUGCAGGCUGGAGGUGGAGGGCACCGGGAGCGAACAGUCUAGGAGGCAAGCAGGCCCUGGAGGUCUGGGAAGCCAGCCCAGGGUGGAGGCUGCAAGGAGGCUGAGUGGGAAGGAAUGGGGGGCCCAGCAGACAGAGCAAGCGCCAUCUGGAUCCAGGGUGAGGGAUGGAGCAGAGGCACGGCUAGCAGCAGGCCACCGACAGCAAGCAGAACAGGAGGAGGUGACCGAGACCCUGUGCGCAGCCGAGGACGGCGCAGCAACACAGCAGAGCUGGUCAGGGGACGCAACAGGAUUGGUGAGUGGAGGGAGGGACAGAGAGGCGAGGAGGAGGAGAGACAGGCACGGGGGAGACAGAGAAUGGCCAGGGUGAUAAAGAGGUAGGCACAGGGGAAAGGGAGAGGGAGAGAUGCGCAGCGCCCAGUGAGAUGCUGGAGAACAGAGCGGAGAGCAGUCUGCCGAGGGAGCCCCCAGGGCUGGGCAGGUUGAGUGGGUCAGGAAGGGACACUAGGCCAGGUGGAGGGGUGGGCGGAUGCUGGGUGUGGAUCUGGGCUGGCAGAGGGCCCAGCUGGAGAGGUCAGCACAGGGCCCAUGCAUUUUAAAUAGCCACCUUGGAAGAGGAGUGGAAAGACCCUGAAGGCCAUGUGUGGAAGGCUAGGUCCCCAGCCUUUGGCACAAUUGGUAUGUGACACCAACUUCAGGAUGUGGGGCCUACUUGGAAAAGGUGGGUCACUGAGGACAUGACCUUGAAGGGCCCAUCUUGUCCCUGGCCCCUCCUCUGUCUCUGCUUCCUGGCCACAGCAAGGUGAGCCGCUUGGUCCACAAUGCCCUCCACACCAUGGUGUCCUGCCUCACCACAGCCCCAAAUGGGGUUUUGUCCCCGGGGCGGGGAGUGACUCAUGCAGGCAGGCGUAACCGAAGCUCACCCGGAGACUGACCUGCCAGCUGGGGCCACAGGAGGACCCUCGCUUCCCGAGGACUUGGCCACUCUCAAAUGCUCCUUGAGCCACCAGACACCGUGCUCAGCACUGGGGGCUGGGGUGGUUGAAAUGUGUCCCCCAAUUCAUGUUGAAGUCCUGAUGACAGGACCUCAGAACCUGGCUGCACUUGUGAUCUUUAAAGUGGAAAUUAAGGUAAAAUGGGGUCACCUGGGAGGGUCCUGAUCCAAUCUGACUGGUGUCCUUACAGGAAUCAGGUCAGGACACAGACAGGCACAGAGGAAGGACCCUGUGAGGACACCCUGCCCUCGGGCCUCCAGCCCCCGCGCUAUGAGAAGCGGUUUCCUGCUGUUUCAGCCCAGCCUGUGGGCUCUGGCUCUGCCAGUGGCCCCGUACAGCAUGCCAGCUCCAGCACGCCAGCCCCUGUUUUAGCUGUGUCACCUGCUCGUGGGACAGACACCCAUGUGAGUGAGCAGCAUCCCUCAUGUGGCACUAGCCGUGGUCACCAUGGAAACAGGCCUCGCGGGAGGCACGGGGCUUCUGGGCAGAGACCUACCGUCUGACACUGGGCAGGACUAAAAUCGAACUGUGUUAGCGCAUUGCUUGUCCUUACGCAGUAGAACCCCAGAAAGUGCCAGGGAUGGAUUGUCUGUGCUGAGCCGGCUGCUGUAGAAGGGGCCCCGAAUAGGCGGAAGGCUCAUCUGCCGCCCAGUCUCCCUGAAGAAUGACCAUCUGAGUGGCAAAGGCCUUCCAGCUGCCAAGAUCCUUUCUGAGCUGAUGCCGUGCAGCGCCCCCAGGCACGGCGAGGUGGUGGGUAACUCCGGCUCCAGGCAGCUCAGGACAGUGGCCAUUCUCUGUCUCCCUGGGCUGUCCACAGUGAGCCACGCUGGUGGGUCGGAAAACCCAGCCUCACAAGACACCCGUCCUCUCAUGGAGACAGUUGAAGACCAAAAGGAGGGUGCCCGCACUGGCCCAGCCCUGUGUCUGGGCAGCGGGCAGAGGUACCUGCUGUGCGGGGGACCCCCUGUGCUCAGCCCACCCCUCAUCUUCCACAGGCGCCUGCCGCCGCCAUGAGCUUCAGAGGGCAGUGCAGACCGCCUGGGAGAGGCAGGAAGGACCUCUCAGCGCAGCCCAGGGCUGGCAGCACAGCUAGGUGACCGGCCAGGGCUACAAGAGGGGACCACGCCAUCCGCCUUCUGACCCACCCCAUCCUCACUCAUUUCAGCAGGGUUCUGAGCCCAGAGGACAUGCACACAAGAUCCAGGGUUCCGGGGCGGCGCCCUCUGGCGCUGCGUCCCGUAGAUUGGAUGGACAGCUGUGAAGAGGUAUAUCCUCAGCCUCUGAAAAUAGCCUCCAGUCCCCCUCAGUGGCUUUCACAGGAGUGACACCCAGGGACAGGCAGCCACAGAGGCAGAGCUGCCCUCCAUGUGUUGGCCCUUCAUCCAGGAACAAGGACCUUGUUCCAGAUUCCCCGGCUCCUUCCCCACCCCCAGGAACAGCCCAGCACAGGGUGGGAACCGCGGAAGGAACGAUGAAGGGUCGACCCUGCUUCUCAGCAGACCGUUGGAUGGCCAGGGUCAGCAGCGUGGGAAGAGCCACCGAGCAGAGCGGGGACCGCAGCUCCCGUGGGGGGCCCCGAGGAGGGUGCUGCGUGACCUGCAGCAUGACUGUCUGUGCCCUGGGUGUUUAGACUGUUGUGAGUCAAAUUCCAUGUAAAUAGAUAUUUCAGUUUGA